rfam:Ipomoea nil DNA, scaffold: scaffold1421, cultivar: Tokyo-kokei standard.
UGGUUUGCAGGUGCAGCAUCAUCAAGAUUCACCUACAAAAUCAAUCUGGCUGAGCAUAUAUAUAUAUUGUGUGUGUGUCUAUAUAUAUAUAUUGACCGUUAUUUCAUAUAUAUGUCAUACAUAUGUAAGCUCCCAGGUUUAAUUUGUACAGUACGAGAAUCUUGAUGAUGCUGCAUCAGCAAACAA